rnacentral:rRNA from 1 species
ACGGUACCUGCAGAAGAAGCUCCGGCUAACUACGUGCCAGCAGCCGCGGUAAUACGUAGGGAGCAAGCGUUGUCCGGAUUUAUUGGGCGUAAAGAGCUCGUAGGCGGUUCCGUAAGUCGAGUGUGAAAAAUCUGGGCUCAACCCAGUGGAGCACUCGAUACUGCGGUGACUAGAGUCCGGUAGGGGAGUGUGGAAUUCCUGGUGUAGCGGUGAAAUGCGCAGAUAUCAGGAGGAACACCGACGGCGAAGGCAGCACUCUGGGCCGGUACUGACGCUGAGGAGCGAAAGCGUGGGGAGCAAACAGGAUUAGAUACCCUGGUAGUCCACGCCGUAAACGUUGGGCACUAGGUGUGGGAGGGAGUCAACCCCUUCCGUGCCGUAGCUAACGCAUUAAGUGCCCCGCCUGGGGAGUACGGCCGCAAGGCUAAAACUCAAAGGAAUUGACGGGAGCCCGCACAAGCGGCGGAGCAUGUUGCUUAAUUCGAGGCAACGCGAAGAACCUUACCUGGGUUUGACAUGUACCGAAAAGCCAUAGAGAUAUGGUGUCCUUCGGG